AGCGAACGCUGGCGGCAGGCCUAACACAUGCAAGUCGAACGAUCUCUUCGGAGAUAGUGGCGGACGGGUGCGUAACACAUGGGAAUCUACCCCUUACUGGGGGAUAACAUCUGGAAACAGGUGCUAAUACCGCAUAUUCCAUAUUGGGAAAGCUCAGGCGGUAAGGGAGGAGCCCAUGGCUGAUUAGCUUGUUGGUGAGGUAAUGGCUCACCAAGGCAACGAUCAGUAGCUGGUCUGAGAGGAUGAUCAGCCACACUGGGACUGAGACACGGCCCAGACUCCUACGGGAGGCAGCAGUGGGGAAUCUUGCGCAAUGGAGGAAACUCUGACGCAGCCAUGCCGCGUGUGUGAUGAAGGUCUUAGGAUUGUAAAGCACUUUCGUUGGGGAAGAUAAUGACGGUACCCAAAGAAGAAGUCCCGGCUAACUCCG
rnacentral:rRNA from 1 species